UAUGAAGGUUCAGGCUGAAGACCUUACCCGAUUAGCUGAGAGGUGGUGCAUGGCCGUCGUCAGUUCGUACUGUGAAGCAUCCUGUUAAGUCAGGCAACGAGCGAGACCCACGUCCACAGUUGCCAGCAUACCCUCCGGGGUGAUGGGUACACUGUGGAGACCGCCGCUGCUAAAGCGGAGGAAGGAGUGGGCAACGGUAGGUCAGUAUGCCCCGAAUCUCCCGGGCUACACGCGGGCUACAAUGGUUGGUACAAUGGGCAUCUACCCCGAAAGGGGAAGGAAAUCUCUUAAAGCCAAUCGUAGUUCGGAUUGAGGGCUGCAACUCGCCCUCAUGAAGCUGGAAUCCGUAGUAAUCGCGUUUCAACAGAACGCGGUGAAUACGUCCCUGCUCCUU
rnacentral:rRNA from 1 species